AGUAGCAUACUUCAGAUGGCGACCGGCGCACGGGUGAGUAACACGUAUCCAACCUGCCGCUUACUCGGGGAUAGCCUUUCGAAAGAAAGAUUAAUACCCGAUGGUAUAAAGAGUUCGCAUGUUCUCUUUAUUAAAGAAUUUCGGUAAGCGAUGGGGAUGCGUUCCAUUAGAUUGUUGGCGGGGUAACGGCCCACCAAGUCUACGAUGGAUAGGGGUUCUGAGAGGAAGGUCCCCCACAUUGGAACUGAGACACGGUCCAAACUCCUACGGGAGGCAGCAGUGAGGAAUAUUGGUCAAUGGACGAGAGUCUGAACCAGCCAAGUAGCGUGAAGGAUGACUGCCCUAUGGGUUGUAAACUUCUUUUAUAAGGGAAUAAAGUGAGGGACGUGUCCCUUUUUGUAUGUACCUUAUGAAUAAGGAUCGGCUAACUCCGUGCCAGCAGCCGCGGUAAUACGGAGGAUCCAAGCGUUAUCCGGAUUUAUUGGGUUUAAAGGGAGCGUAGGUUGACAUAUAAGUCAGCUGUGAAAGUUUACGGCUCAACCGUGAAAUUGCAGUUGAUACUGUAUGUCUUGAGUGUACAAGAGGUGGGCGGAAUUCGUGGUGUAGCGGUGAAAUGCUUAGAUAUCACGAAGAACUCCGAUUG
rnacentral:rRNA from 1 species